CUCUCCACUAGCAGCCUCUUUCUCCAGUCUCCCCCUCUCUCUCAUUGUGUCUGUCUGAUUUUUCAGACCAUCUUUAUUCCAUCUUCUCUCUUUCCCAGCCUAGUCUUUUCUGCAGGACAAAGCUAUAAUAUCCUCCAAGCAAAGAUUUUAAGGUGGUUGUUCCAGGCAUGAAACAAUGAAGCAGCAGGGGAGUAAGAGUAGAAGUAAUACUCUUAAUUUGGGCUUCCUCUGCCUCCCUUCCCAGUAAAGUUGCCCAGGACAAAGUACCUAGACAAAAGAGACUCUAUAGUGGACCCCUCAGAGGAAGCAGAUGUCCUGGACUUUUGAUUAUCUUUGGCAUGAAAAAUACAACAAGCAGAGGAAACACAUCGGCACAAAAGCCUGCAGUCCGGCAGCUACAUUUUCUCUGUGGGAGCAGAUUCUCAGUGUCUUCCAAGAAGGCGCAACAUGCUGCAUGCCCAGUGAGUUGGAUUUAGUAGCAAAAGAGGUUGGAGUUCUCCGGAAUGACAAAGAGACCAGAGAGCACCGAACCUAUGGCUGCUUUUGCCUUUGCUCCUCUCUGUGUAGCGAUGCCUGUCAACAUCCACCAGAGAGCAGAGCAGCUCUGAAGACCCAGGCCUUUUAUGCUUUGGAAAUCAAUGGAGACAGCUACACAGCCAGAUCUCGGCCAAACAACAUGGAUUGCAGUUCAUUUCAAAGGAACCUUUGGACACCAAGGAAGAAAGAAGUGGGACAUGACUCCUCCUGA
rnacentral:lncRNA from 11 species